CAGGACAAAAGUCCCCAUUUUGUCCCAGUUGGUAAUUCCAACCGGGACAUACCAAGACAAAAGAUUUUGUCGCGGUUGGAAUUACCAACCGAGACAAAAGCCGAGCUAGAGCCACUCGACUAGAUACCGAGAGCUUCUUUCUCCUCCUCUCCAUGAUGAGCAAGCAUUUUUUUCCUCAUUUCCAUGGGGUUUCAUUCAUCCAAAAUGUUGUAAAGGUUACUUACUUCAUCC
rnacentral:lncRNA from 1 species